GUUGUCAUGUACAUGGAUUUGAACCAUACUUCUAUAUCAGCUGCCCUCCUGGAAUGGGCCCUGACGAUAUCUCCCGUUUUCACCAAAUUCUUGAGGGUAGGAUGAGAGAGGCGAAUAGGAACAGCAAUGCCCCUAAGUUUGUCCGUCGCAUUGAAGUAGUUCAGAAAAGAAGCAUCAUGUAUUACCAACAGCAGGCUUCUCAGCCUUUUCUCAAGAUUGUAGUGGCAUUGCCAACAAUGGUUACCAGUUGCCGUGGUAUUCUCGAUAGAGGUAUUCAAAUUGAC
rnacentral:misc_RNA from 1 species